rnacentral:tRNA from 1 species
UGGGGCGUGGCUCAGUGGCAGAGCACUUGCCUAGCAGGUGCAGGGUCCUGGGUUCAGUCCCAGCACCCCCC